GGGACGGCCCCGCGUGGCGGUACCCCAAAAGCUCUCGGCGCGGCGGGGCCGUCCCGCCCGCCCGCCUAAUGCGAGCUGAGCCGCACGCCGGGUUUGAGUGGGGUUGGAGGAGUUCUGAGGCGGGACCGCGUUACGUUCAUCGCAGGUAAAGCAGCCGCUCGCUGUCAGCCGCUCGUUCGUGCUCGCACGGUGUGCGGCGUAGCCGCGGGUGUGUGUGCUCCCACCUGCCGGGGCGGCGGGCUCCGCCGUGCCACCAGCGCCGCGCUGCGCCCAGGCAUGAAUACAGGAACAGGUAAACAGCUGAGCCGUAAAAGUUUCUCUCCAGGCAUGUUUUCAACAAAAUGCCAUCACACACUGUCUGGUGAUACAUGCUGCUACCCAGAUGGAACAAAAC
rnacentral:lncRNA from 1 species